rnacentral:tRNA from 1 species
UCUUAUAUAGUAUAUAUAAUACAUUUAACUUCCAAUUAAAAAAAUUAUUUAAAAAUAAUAUAAGCA